rnacentral:rRNA from 1 species
UAAGACGAACCGUGCGAACGUUGUUCGGAAUCACUGGGCUUAAAGGGCGCGUAGGCGGCGCGUCAAGUCGGGGGUGAAAGCGUUCGGCUUAACCGGACAAGGGCCCCCGAUACUGACACGCUCGAGGGAGGCAGGGGCAGACGGAACUUCCGGUGGAGCGGUGAAAUGCGUUGAUAUCGGAAGGAACGCCGGUGGCGAAAGCGGUCUGCUGGACCUCUACUGACGCUGAGGCGCGAAAGCCAGGGGAGCGAACGGGAUUAGAUACCCCGGUAGUCCUGGCCCUAAACGAUGGGUACUAGGUAGUGGACUGGACAUGGGUUCCCUGCCGAAGCCAAAGUAGUUAGUACCCCGCCUGGGGAGUAUGGUCGCAAGGCUG